AUCCGUUCUACACAGUUAACACAAUUAAUCCUAAACAAUUAUCCUAAUUGUUAUUAAUCUAAUAGUUAACCACCAAAAACAAAGAAAUGGGCUAAUAAACAACACAACAUAAUGGGCCUUAGGAGAUAGGCCCAAACGCAUGGGGUGUUCAAUGGGAUAAGGGAGUUCCAUAAUGAAUUUGCUUGGGUGGUGCCAAGAGAAAAGUGAGUGGACCUAGGAGCCCAAGGUAAUGAGAAAACAACACGGAGGGAUUAACCUCAACAUACAUCUCAAGCUCUCACUCACGCUUCCCUGCUCAAAAUUCACAUCGCCGGAGUCGUAACAGCUCCGCCGCGCUGGUGCUCUCUGCCGGCGGCAAGCGAACCACCACGAUCUCCCUACCAAACUACCCGCUCUGACCACCUCCACCUGAAUCCUCCACUAACCUCCUUAAGUCCUCACCACACAUCGCGCUCAGCGACAAAGCUGCAAUGAAUUCACAACGAACUGAAGAAAGACGACGGUGGUGAACUCAAGAUCUACUUGAGUUCCUCUCUCCGUGAAUCGUGACAAGGCACCACUUGCCUUCACCUCGAGCCAUUCUUAUUCUACUUCUCCUACCUAAAGCUAAACGCAAGCUCUUCCUAAAUCUAAUGUGACUCGGCUUUUUGAUAGAGCGAAACAAACUUCGAUUCAAAGAGAGGAACGCCUCAACCGCGGUCCACACCACAACUCUCAAGUCUCACCACAGUGCAAGAAACAAUCAAUACGCAGGGAAGAAAAUAGCUUACCUACGACGGCAGCAGCGAGGGAAUCGUUGACGACGUUGAACUACACUUUGGUACCUUGAUAUCUCGCCUAUUUGACCUUCUUUUUGAUGUUAUUAUGAUCCAUGAUCGUUCGGUGGAAUUCACGUCGGCGGUUUCCGAUUUUGCGGUUCCUUCCUCCGGUUGAGCAAAAGUGUACACCGAAAGCCUCUCUGUUGACCAAGGUGUGUAGAAACUAGAGGGAGUUUUUCUGGUUUUCUGAAUGAGAAGUGGCGAAGUGGGUUGGUGCGUGAGGGGUAGAGAAUGGUGGAGGAUUCGGUUAGAGGUUGUUGAUGAUUGUAGAAGAAUAUCCAAGAUUCAUUGUGUAUGAGAAUUUGUUAUAUGCUGCAGAAUUGAGAGCGACGACCCCCGCUUCAAGGCCAAUCCAAUGGACUUUAUAGAGUUAUGUUGCAAUGGAUUUGGAUGAGUUUUUGCAUUUUUGCUUUUCAGUUGCCGUUUUGUUGUUGUUGCCUUUGUACGUGCAUCUUGUUACGCGUUUUAUACAGGCUCACAUUUGCCCGACGUUCACGUGUGGCUCGGCUUAAUGUCGGUGGCUCUUUGUAGUUGUGCACGGAUUGUUCUCAUGAUGUCGUUUUCAGUUUAUGCAGGUAUUUUAGCAGUUGGUGGCUCGUUGCCGUUUCGGCGCUUGGACGUUGGCUUUUGACGUGUGGACUUUUCAAUCUUUCCGCUUGUGGAUAGCAGCUUGGUGGCUUGUUGUGCUGCAUUGCAGUUGGUUUUGGAUUUAGCUUGCGGCUUAGCUCUGAGCUGUGUUUGGCGUUUCAAUUGCUUACACUAUGUUGGCUUAAGUUUUGGCGUGUUUCCUUUUCUUACAUUGUGUUGGCUUUCGUUGCCGUAUUGGCUUGUUGGUAGUUGCUUGCGCAGCUUUGUACUUUGCGUUUUGCAGCUUUUUAGCUGCAUUUGGAAUGUAGCUUUUGGCCUCCUGGAUCAUGUUUGCUGCAGGAUACCAGUUAGAAGUGGAAACAUGACAAAACUAGAUUAGUAAAUUAAUUAUGGAUACAUGGAUAUUGGCUUUUAAAACGGUUUAAUGGAUUAAAGGAAAGAAGGAUUAUGUAUUAACAUUGGAUUUUUGAUUUAGAAA